GUUUAGUCCACGUGGAGAACGGCAGUGAGCUGUGAAGGUGUGCGGCCACGUUCCUGCAUUCCAGACUCUUUUUCUUCUACUGAGACUUAUCUGGUAGGCCCACAGGCCAGUCCUUCCCGGAGUUGAAGUUGUGAAAUAUGAGUUGGCGAGAAAGACCAACCUAUCGGCCUAGAGUACUAUGAUAUAUACAACUUUCUGAGGUGACUGGGCCUAUGCUGCGCGAGCAGUGCAAUCAUGAACCACCUAAGGAAGUGGAACCACCAUCUCAAAGUCUGGAUCCUGCACCUGCUCAAAAGAGAAAGGAUGAAGGAACAUUGACAGCUCAAGGUGAAGGGCAACCACAGUGUUAAAAGAAGAUACACUGAAAUGAUGCAGGCUGUUCCUAUGUUGGAAAUUUGUUCAUUUAAGUUCUCUCAAUAAAGCUUUAUAGCCUUCUG